AUUGAACGCUGGCGGCAGGCCUAACACAUGCAAGUCGAACGAGUGGCGGACGGGUGAGUAAUGUCUGGGAAACUGCCCGAUGGAGGGGGAUAACUACUGGAAACGGUAGCUAAUACCGCAUACCAUCGGAUGUGCCCAGAUGGGAUUAGCUUGUAGGUGGGGUAACGGCUCACCUAGGCGACGAUCCCUAGCUGGUCUGAGAGGAUGACCAGCGAACAUGGAACGGAGACACGGUCGAGACUGCUACGGGAGGCAGAAGUGGGGAAUAUUGCAAAAUGGGCGCAAGCCUGAUGGAGCCAAGCCGGGGGUAUGAAGAAGGCCUUCGGGUUGGAAAGUACUUUCAGCGGGGAGGCGGUACCCGCAGAAGAAGCACCGGCUAACUCCGUGCCAGCAGCCGCGGUAAUAC
rnacentral:rRNA from 1 species